UACGGAGGGGGCCAGCGUUGUUCGGAAUCAUUGGGCGUAAAGGGCGCGUAGGCGGCCACGUAAGUCGGUUGUGAAAUCCCUCGGCUCAACCGAGGAACUGCGACUGAUACUGCGUGGCUUGAGUCCCGGAGAGGGUAGCGGAAUUCCCAGUGUAGCGGUGAAAUGCGUAGAUAUUGGGAGGAACAUCGGUGGCGAAGGCGGCUACCUGGACGGGUACUGACGCUGAGGCGCGAAAGCUAGGGGAGCAAACAGGAUUAGAAACCCUCGUAGUCC
rnacentral:rRNA from 1 species